AGAGGUGAAGCUGCAAGCAUCGGUUGCCUCCUGCUGACAGGUCCCUGGGCACCCCAUGAAGGGAGAGCGUGACAUGGUCCUGCUUUUCCUGGCAGCACUGGUGGGACUGGCAGACUUUGGUCAUGCCCAAAAGGACUCUGUGCUGCAGUUUCCAGCAGAAAUGACCAUCCAGGCAGGGGAGAGCACAGCUCUGCACUGCAAUUUCUCCAGCAGCCAUGCCAAUCCCUCCAUCUACUGGUACCAGCAGCGCCAGUCCCAGUCCCCUCAGAGGCUGCUGUGGGUGAACAAGUACAGAGCUCGUAUAGAUUCAGGGAGAUUCUCCUCUGAACUGACUGCGGAGACCUCCCAGGUGCUUCUGAAUGUGCGGGAUGCCGAGCUCCAGGACAGCGCUGCCUAUUUCUGUGCACUGAGCCCACACUGGUGCCCACAGCUUGCAGCACUGCACAGAAAGGUGGGGGGGUGCUCUGAGGAGCAGUUCCCUCCCUGCCACUGCUUGCAUGUAGCUCUGAGCUCAGCCUGCCCAGCAGCAGCACCUGGGAACUGUGGUGAGGCUGGGCUUCUGCCUCCCCAGCCUGUGCUGCUGUGA